rnacentral:rRNA from 1 species
CAAAGCAAAUGGACGAAGGCAUACACAAAGGAUGUGGACAAACUCCUUUGUGAAUGUUGGAGGGAAAUUGGACAAGACCCCAAGGUCGACACCGAGCAAAAGUCAACAACCUUUUGGCUAAGAGUUCACAGCGAGUUCCAUGAACGCAAGAAGUUCGAACCGUACAAGAUGGAGAGCAAGCGUGGGUGGGUGUCCCUCUUGAAGCGUUGGAGGAUGAUGAAACAAGAGUGCAACAAGUUUUGUGCCACGCUUGGGAGCAUCGAGGGCCGUUCAUGA